GAUGAACGCUGGCGGCGUGCCUAAUACAUGCAAGUCGAGCGAACAGACGAGGAGCUUGCUCCUCUGACGUUAGCGGCGGACGGGUGAGUAACACGUGGAUAACCUACCUAUAAGACUGGGAUAACUUCGGGAAACCGGAGCUAAUACCGGAUAAUAUAUUGAACCGCAUGGUUCAAUAGUGAAAGACGGUUUUGCUGUCACUUAUAGAUGGAUCCGCGCCGCAUUAGCUAGUUGGUAAGGUAACGGCUUACCAAGGCAACGAUGCGUAGCCGACCUGAGAGGGUGAUCGGCCACACUGGAACUGAGACACGGUCCAGACUCCUACGGGAGGCAGCAGUAGGGAAUCUUCCGCAAUGGGCGAAAGCCUGACGGAGCAACGCCGCGUGAGUGAUGAAGGUCUUCGGAUCGUAGAACUCUGUUAUUAGGGAAGAACAAAUGUGUAAGUAGCUAUGCACGUCUUGACGGUACCUAAUCAGAAAGCCACGGCUAACUACGUG
rnacentral:rRNA from 1 species